AAGCCCUGCAGCAGCUGAAAACAACUUGUCCAAACGUGAUCUCUCAUCUAUACAUCUUGAUCAAGGGAGCUUAACACGAUCGAUUGCUGGGGUGCUUUCAAGUUCAGCGCCAGUAUAAGCAUCUCUUCCUCUCACACACAUGCUGCCUUUUCCCCUCAGUCAUGCAAUGUGCAGAUCAAUUAAGUCUGUGACGUAAGAAGCAACGGGUUCUCCUGUGCCCCCACUGACCUACUAUCGACUGGCGGCUAUCUCUCACCCCACCCCACCACAAUACCCC